CGGGAGCAUCCCCAGGCUGGGGGGGGACACACCAUAAGGGUAGGGAAAGGCAUCGCCUCCCAGCAAGUAGCCCUUCUCCCUGCUGGUCUUUGCUUUGCUCCUCGCCUGGCAACGCGGUGACACGAUGGAGGUGACAAGCAGGGUGUUUCUGCUGAAUCAAUCUCUUCUCUUUGUUUUUUUCUUGCAGGAGGGAAAAGCUGCUGCAAAACUUGCAAGCCUUAGCUUGGAUCCCAUCGUGCUGCUCACAGACAGCUGAUGCGCAGCGCUCGGUAAGCUGGCCGCUCCCUCUGCUCCCUGCUUCCCUGAGAGCUGCCACCCAAACUAAGCUGCUUAGUGCAUAUGGCAUAAUCCAUCCUCCAGCUUGUGGCAGGAGCAGCGGUGGGAGCUAAUUAGCGUGCACUAAUAGGCGUGCUAACAACAUCUUGCUGCUACAGCAUCGUGGCCGUCGCCGGAGAUUUGCGCACUGAAUUUUUUGCAAUUAGCACCAUGAAAUGUUGGCUGCCAAUGGGGACCUGUCCUUCAGUGGCUGGGGGGCACAUGCAUCAGGGUGAAGCUCUGGGACCUCAGCCUGCUUCAGGAGGCUGCAACGAAAUUGUCUUGGGUGUAACCGACUCGUCAUGGGCAUGGCCCAAAGAGUUCCUCCAGGAAGGCAAAGGAGCAUUGGAAAGAGGGCUACUGAGACCCAGAUCCCUCUCUCAUGUUAUGCUGUGUUGAAGCCUCUAGGACAACAUUUUGGCCUGGAUUCAGGAAGCCUGUUAAGGAUUUCAGCCCGGAGAGGUUGGAGGCCGGGAUGGGCGAGAUGGAGCUGGGCUGGGAACAGCCGUGUGGUGAGGUUGCAGGAGGCUGCAGGACCUUCCCAGCAGGACAACCUCUGUGUCUGUCCGGCCCUCCAUCCAGCCCUGCUGUGUCCCGAGGGCUGCAGGAGACAUGAGCUCACUGCUGAGACGUGCCAAACCAAGCCCGCCGGGCGAGGCUGCUCCCAGCUCCACGCUGACAUCUGCCAGAGAUUUCCAGCACUGCUGUCUCGCUGCUUCUCUGCAGAACGCAGCCCCUGAGCGUCCCAACAUCCUGCUCCUCCUCUGGGCCAGAGGCAUCCACAUCUACAUCCCCAUUGCUAUCCCAAUCCACAUCCCCAUCCCCACCUGCAUCCCCAUCCCCGCCCACAUCAGCAUCCUAACACCUGAACUGGUUGCCAUAGAAACCACAGGUCUGUCUGUCUGCCCGUGCCAGGGGUCAAUGCGCUGCUCCCCCUGGCACAGCUAUUUGUGGUCCACAGACAGGGAAACAGGGGCACGCUGGAGGCAUGGAGCAUCCACACAAGGAGGACGGUGCAUCCUGGGAGUGAAUGGGAAAGUGUAGCUCUGCCAGAAGUUAUAGCAUUUGGGACAUCAACGUGAGCAGAGGGCGAAAGCUGGAAAUCAUUACAUGGCACAACAGAAGGCAAAACAUUCACCUGGAGAAGGCAAUUAGCUCAGCAGGUCUUUUAGUGUCAUUAAGGGAUUAUUGUCCUGUUAUUACAUGUCCCAUCAUUAAGGGAUUAUUGUCUCAGUGGUUCCUUGACCUCCUGGGCAUGGCUGGAUGGUGUCACAUCAGACCCCAUAGAAGGUGUUGUUAGGGUGGGUGGGGUAGUGUGAGUUGUCCUCUCUUUCAGAGACCACCAGCAAGGCAAAUUGUUGCGUUAGGGAUGUGACCAAUUGGUUUGGAGGUGUCCAAGGCCAAGUUGAAUGGGAAACCUCAUCCAGUGCUUGAUCAAGCAGUCUGCAACCCUGCCUACGGCAUGGAGAUUGGAAGUGGACAGUCUCUGGGGUCCCUUCCAACACAAGCCAUUCUAUGAUUUCUUGCCCACGUGGUCCUAUGGGCAUCCCAGUGACCAUAUAUAGCCAACUCUCUGCUCUCCACCUCCUAUAAAAGAUGCUGGCUGCUGGUUUCCGUGCUGCCAGCCGUCCCGGAGCUGUGCGUUCUGCAUUUCCCUUUUAGGAAGCAAGAUUCUUGGACAUAGGGCAGUAAAAAGAAAACAUCUCUCAGCUCUUAUUUAUCACCUCUCCUUAUAACUGACCACUCUCUAAAUAGAGGGACCGCUUGCAGCCCAGGAGUGCAGCACAACGGAGCCAGAGGUGCCUUUGGCCCCUGCUGUCCUGGAUGGACUUCCAUGCAGAUCUCCCCACCUCGCUGCUAUUUAUGGGGUCAGCUCCAGGCAAGGAACCCAGCUGAAGUCCUGGUGCUUACUGCUCACCGGCCAAGCCAAACAGCGGAGUGAUGCAAUAUUGCACAAACUUUCCAGCCAGGGAAAUUAAUCUUUGCAAUAGAGGAAAAAAAAAAAAAAAAAAAAAAAAAGCAGUGAGCACAGAAGACAGCUCAGGGCGUCUGUCUUGGAGGGGAUGUCUGUUAAAUGGGCUCAGCACAUGCUGUUCUGGCUGCUUCCGCUGAACUCUGCUGCUGGCGAGGUCAGUGUUGCUGUGGGUUUGCUCAAGUCCUGGGGCUUCUCCCUGAGCUGCUGGAGCUCAGGGAGCGUUGGGACGUUGCUCUCAGCCAUAGGGUUUGGGUGGUAUUGUGUGGAGCCAGGGGUUGGACUCUGAUCCUCGCGGGUCCCUUCCAAUUUGGGAUAUUCUGCAGCUGUGUGCUUGUAUCAUUCUAUGAUUCUAAGGUAGAGGUGGGAUCUUCAGGUGGAAGAGUCCUUUUUGGACGAUCAUGUGCUGCAAUUUUGGGAUCCAUGUAAACUCCUUUUGUACUGCAGCAGUGAUUCCUCAGCUUAACCUCAGUGCACGUGAUGAGGAUCCGCUCCCUUUUCAGCCUGGACUUGCUGAGGCGUUGGGUUCCUAGCCACGGGCGUCUCAAUGGAUGGGCAGCAUACUGAAGAGAUGUCCCUCUGCAGGUUGGAUGGGACCCUGUGCAACCUGAUGUGGUGUCUGACAGCCCUGCCUGCAGCAGGAGGUUGGAGCUCAAUGAUCUUCAAGGUCCCUUCCAACCCAAGCCAUUCUACGACUCCCAACCAAACCAUUCUACGACUACGAUUCCAACCGCUCCUAAUUUUGCAGCUCCGUUCAAGCCCCGCUCUGCCAUCACUCUAACAGGAGCCGUCACCUAUCUUUAAACCUUCUCUCACCCUUCUCUGCAUCUUCCCCCAGAUCCUCAAUGGGCGGUGAUAAGAGCGGACUGAAAGACCACUCGUGCGUUAUCGGCACUUUGGAAAACCCCGGGCAGCUCACGUGGCUGCCGGCUGACGCUUCAGUGCCUCUCUGAUCCCUUACGUAACCAGUGGCACUGUUUGUUUUUCCUUGCUGACUUUUUUUGUGUGUGUGUGUGUGUGACUCCCACGUUCACUGCUCUUAAAGCCGCUUAUAAUCACUCUAAAGCCCCAGCUUAGCCAGGCACCGCUCUGGGUCCUGAGCGGCUUGCUGAGCUGCCUCCUUCGUUCCCUUGCAUGAAGGUUUCUUUCCCUUUUGCUGGUUCCAGGUUCAACAUUUUUAUGGCUUCUCCCCUGCACAGCAGUUCUGAUUUGGGAUCCGCUGCUCAUGGGAUGGCCCAAAGCCUCUUGAGUGGGUUGGCCAACGUCUUGCUCAUCUCCUGGUGGGGCGAUUGACUUAUUACGUGGUCUGACAGUGAUAGGACAAAGGGAAAUGGCUCUAAGCUAAAAGAGAGGAGAUUUAGAUUAGACGCUAUGAAGAAAUUCUUUACUCAGAGGGCGGUGAGGCCCUGGCACUGCUGAUCAGAUAGCUGUGGGUGCCCCAUCCCUGGAGGUGCUCAAGGUCUCGUUAGAUAGGGCCCUGGGCAGCCUGAGCUGGUGGGAGACAACCAGCCCACCCAUCUUCAUAGUGUUAUUUUGAUAAGGAAUAGCCUAUGCUGUUCUUGUUUUGUACAGUGUUGUUCUCUAAAACCUCCGUUGCAUUCUGUAUGUACGUACACAUUCAACAGAUGCACACAUCUGCCAUCAGAUUUCCUGCUGAAAUACCCCCAGCUAAAAUCCCAGCUAUUUCUCAGUCUGAUUUCACUCUUGCUAAGCCAGAUUAGGAGUUUUUGGGUCUUGCUGAAACUUCUGCGCUUCGCAGGAUGAAUUCUUAUCCCUGGCAGAAGGCUGCCCUGCUCUCUGUGUUGAUUCUGGCGUCUGCACUGGAAAGCAAACAAAGUAACUCAAGUUGGGUAUUAGGAAAAUGUCUUCCAUGGAAGAGUGAUCAGGCAUUGGAACAGCCUGCCCAGGGCAGCGGUGGAGUCACUGUCCAUGGAGGUUUUCUAGGAAAGGGUAGAUGGAACUUAGGGACAUGGUUGGUGGGUAUGGUGGUGGUUGGUUGACGGUUGGACUUGAUGAUCUUCGUGGCCUUUUCCAGCCUCAGUGAUUCUAUGAACUUCCAUCAGCCCCGAGGCAAAAGUAGUGCCUGGGUUUUGCGUUCCCUCCAGAAGAGCCCAACCUCUUUGUUUCAGGGAAAACACAUCUGGGAUCCAACAGCAGCCAUUGUUCUCCGGUGAGUAAGGACCAACACGGUUAAUGGCAGCUGAGGUGUUCUCGCAGUGCCCUGCUGCUCCUAAACAUCUCCAGCAGCACUGAUUGGAGGAGCCAUCCAAAAUUUAAUUGUUUUCUCAUUGAUUGGUGGUAAGGACAGGCUGGUAAGCCUCUGUGCAGCCUCCAGGUGGAUCAGGUUGAUGCCCACAUCUGGAAACACUGUGCCACAAGCUACCCAAGUCUUUCCCUAUAUAGUUCAACAAAGCACGAGGUGAAACAAGGGAAGCUUUUUUUCCCCAGACCACUCUCACAGUGGUGGCUCCACGGGCUCAUCUUGGAGGUCAGCUUUCCCCUUUGUGAUGCUAAACAACUAGGAAGGAAUAAUCAAAUUACAUCCGCACAAUUACGUGAAUGAGGGCAUCAAGCAUCCCAUAGAGAGUUGUCCCUUGCUGCUUUGCAAAGGCCAUCACGUUCAUUCGGGCUGGCAAAUCUCCUCUCUGGGUUUCAGACAAAGCCGUAUGAGGACUGGUGAUGCACUGGCACAGGUUGCCCAGAGGGGUGGUGGUGCCCCAUCCGUGGAGACCUUCAGGUCAGGCUGGAAGGGGCUCUGAGCACUGAUGGAGCUGUGGGUGUCCCUGUGCAUUGCAGGGAGUGGGACCAGAUGGCCUUUAAGGGUCCCUUCCAACUCAUCAAUUAUAUGAUUCUAUGACUUUUGGGACAUGAGAUGGGGUGCUCCUUCCCAUGCUAUCCUGAGGAGCACAUCUCCCCAGUACCACUGCAGCUGAACACGCAUAGAGCAACAAGAAGGAAACAGAUGCUUCCCUGCUGGAUGAAUCAGCAGCACAUCUGGGCUCUGAUGAGGCUGCACUGUAAGAUUUUCCCCUCUAUCCCAUGCCGGUGGGAAGGCAGUGGGCCAGCCUUGCUGCUUGGCUGGGGAGCAGGAG
ensembl:lncRNA